UACGGGGGGGGCAAGCGUUGUUCGGAAUUACUGGGCGUAAAGGGCGCGUAGGUGGCCUUCUAAGUUGAACGUGAAAUCCCUGGGCUCAACCCAGGAACUGCGUCCAAGACUGGGAGGCUUGAAUCCGGGAGAGGGAUGCGGAAUUCCAGGUGUAGCGGUGAAAUGCAUAGAUGUUGUCAAGAACACCAAUUGCGAAGGCAGCUUACUAAAUUAUAACUGACGCUGAGGCACGAAAGUGUGGGUAUCAAACAGG
rnacentral:rRNA from 1 species